rnacentral:misc_RNA from 1 species
GAAAUGCGAUAAGUAAUGUGAAUUGCAGAAUUCAGUGAAUCAUCGAAUCUUUGAACGUACAUUGCGCCCGCCAGCACUCUGGCGGGCAUGCCUGUUCGAGCGUCAUUUCAACCCUCAGAACCCCUUGCGGGAUCUGGCGUUGGGGAUUGGCAUCCAGCCAGCCCCGAAAUCUAGUGGCGGUCCCUCCGCGACCUCCCCUGUGCAGUAGCGAUACCUCGCAGCGGGACAGCGGUCUGACCACGCCGUAAAACCCCCAACUUCUCAAGGUUGACCUCGAAUCAGGUAGGAAUACCCGCUGAACUUAAGC